rnacentral:lncRNA from 1 species
GUCUCAUGAGAACAUAAUUUUUGUUGAUGAUUUGUCCAAAGUUUCUAUCAAUCCAUCUUAGCAGCAGAGCCAAGUGUUAGAGUUAUUGCUGCCUGAGUUAUAACAGCUGCCCUGGGAAUCUUGUCUGAACAACAAGUUAACUGCUGUUCCCAGUUAUAUCUGGUCUUUCCCACCCCCAAACAUACACAAAAGAUUUUUGUCAUUCUUGGCACUGGACAACAGAAGUGAUAAGACAUGCCAGCAGAACUCUAAAGGCAGAAUGUCCUUCCACCUGUUUUAUGCUGUAAGACAAACUUCCAAGUGCGAGGCAGUGUGGAGGGCUGUUGCCUUGAAUGGCAGCUGAAUGCACCAGCGGGAUCCUUGGCAGCAAUGCCCAGGCACUGAAGUCGGGCAUUCAGGAGAGCUAAAUGGAGAAAAGAAACUUGAGCAAACUGCUUCCUGGAACACUGAGAACCUGAAUGGGAAAUUAAGAAGAACCAGAUUCUUUCUAUUCUUCCACCAGCCAAGCAACUUCAGGAUGGGGGAAUCAAGCAAAACCAUGGUGAAGAGAUUCAUUUAAAGAGGACAAGUGAUUUAUUCUACAUCUCAGGAGACAGUUCCUUAAGGUGAUGAGCACAAAAGGAUCCAUCUUAUACAGUGCUUGCCAGCUUCCAUAAUACUACUCACCACGAUGUUGAAAUCACCUGUUCCAGAACCAGUCCUGUCCUUUGACAAGAAGGAUUUAAUUAUCAGUAGUGGUGGGGACUGGCUGGAGAGAGGAAAAACACUUCAAGGACUCUGCCACCUUUCGUAGAUGGAGAGUGCAAAGUUUGUACCAUGGAACUCCUUCUCUAACAGUUACUCUGUGGCAGUGCCUAUUUCAAACCUCCCUUAACUUCUGAUUGUAUAGAUGUUUGUUUCAUUUGUUCAUCUGUUUGUUCACUUAGUCAGAGAUGUUUUAAGCCUUAAGAGAAAUAGUGGACUAGAAAAUGCCUUGGAAAAGUACAAAGUUCAAUCCAAGUAAACUGUUUUUAAACUAGGAAUUUAUGAAGCCUAAAAUAUAAAAUGUAUAUACAUGGAUAUGCUCUGAAGUGAGGUAGAGGGGUAGAAAUCAACAUUGUGAUAUUGUACUAUAGUUUUGCAAGAUGUUACCAUUGGGGGAAAAUGUUUGAAGGGUAUACGGGAUAUCUCUGCCUUAUUUCUUACAACUGCAUGUGAAUCUACAGUUAUCUCAAA